AUGUUCUCACGUUGUGGGACCUAGACACAAAUGUUCUUGUAGCUGUAAUUGGAGAUACUCUUACAGUGAUUGUCUGAAUAUCAUUAUCUAAUUGUGUUGUGUGUGUAAAGUAGACAUUUGACGUGGAUCAUUGCUGAAACAUGAUUGAUGGUUAUCAUACACAUUAAUUUGGCAUGGAAGCUUACCGAAAGAGAUGAGGCCUUGGUGCAAAGCAAGAGUGCCAUAGAAAAAGGUUUAUUUUUUAGUGUUUUUUUUUUUUUUUUCCAUGCAGAAUUAUUUGUUUUCAUUGACGAUUUCAUUGAAUUGAAGUUGGGUUUCUUUGGAAAUUGGUUUGGGAUUUGUUUGAUAGUAUUUUUAUGUUUGUUGAGUUGAAUUCUUGAAGAAAUGAUGACCAAGAAAAGGAGGUGGUUGAUUGAUAAACAGCCCGAUGGCAGUAGUGGAGGUUAUUUGGGUGGGAUCCGUGAUCUUGAAACACAACUCAAGCUUUACGGUACGGAUUCCAAAGAACUCAAGUGGAUUUUUCUUUUCUUUUCCUUUUUUCCUUUCUUUCUGGAAGAUGACUUUGAAAUGGCAUUUGGUUGUUUUGUUUCUUUGAAUUUGGCUCUCCAAUGCUAGAAAACGGUAACUUUCAUUUUGGGUUUUUAAAUUCCUAGGGCCUCAACUGCAGAAAUUCAAAACCCAAAUCCAAUUUUUGAUUUUUGGAUUCAAAAUUGUUUGGCAUUUAGAGAGCCAAAGUUUCUAUGGCCUAAACAUAGAUGACUUGACCUUUUGUUGUGCAGAUGUAGAAAGAAAUAAAAGAGCUAAUUCAACAUUGAGAUCUUGCUCAAUCUCCUCUCAAGGGCUCGUCUCUUUUCUCAACACUUUUCAGGUAUAUUGGAACAAACGGAUUAUAAAAUAUAGAGGCAGGUAUGGAAUCAAGUUACAUCUGAAGCAAUGAAGAGAACAUUGGGCUGGAAUGGGAUCUUCCCCUGCUUCUGUUUCCACCAUUGCUUCUUGAAAAUCUGCUCAAGGGUUUCUCAAAUUCAAAUUUCACAGUUUCACAUUGGGCUGGCUUGCUAAAAAGGUGGUUGAACCCAAUGGUGAUCACAUAGAGGAUAAACUAGUAAGUUC